AACCUUUACAAUGCACGCAAGUGUGAUAAGGGAACUCCCAGUGCUCAUGUAUUGCAUGGGCUUUUGCCAAGAGUAAACAUCUUGGCGAAUAAGGGGUGGGUAAGACGGGUG
rnacentral:rRNA from 1 species